UACGUAGGGUGCAAGCGUUAAUCGGAAUUACUGGGCGUAAAGCGCAUGCAGGCGGUCCUGUAAGUUUGGAGUGACAGUUUCCGGCUCAACCGGGAAAGUGCUUUGAAAACUGCAGGACUUGAGGGCUUCAGAGGGACACGGAAUUCCGGGUGGAGUGGUGAAAUGCGUAGAUAUCCGGAGGAACACCGAAGGCGAAGGCAGUGUCCUGGGGAGCACCUGACGCUCAGAUGCGAAAGCCAGGGGAGCGAACGGG
rnacentral:rRNA from 1 species